rnacentral:rRNA from 1 species
AUUGAACGCUGGCGGCAGGCUUAACACAUGCAAGUCGAGCGGGGUGAUGGUGCUUGCACUAUCACUUAGCGGCGGACGGGUGAGUAAUGCUUAGGAAUCUGCCUAUUAGUGGGGACAACAUCUCGAAAGGGAUGCUAAUACCGCAUACGUCCUACGGGAGAAAGCAGGGGAUCACUGGUGACCUUGCGCUAAUAGCUGAGCCUAAGUCGGAUUAGGUAGUUGGUGGGGUAAAGGCCUACCAAGGCGACGAGCUGUAGCGGGUCUGAGGGGAUGAUCCGCCACACUGGGGCUGAGACACGGCCCAGACGCCUACGGGAGGCAGCAGUGGGGAAUAUUGGACAAUGGGGGGAACCCUGAUCCAGCCAUGCCGCGUGUGUGAAGAAGGCCUUAUGGUUGUAAAGCACUUUAAGCGAGGAGGAGGCUCUUUUGGUUAAUACCCAAGAUGAGUGGACGUUACUCGCAGAAUAAGCACCGGCUAACUCUGUGCCAGCCGCCGCGGUAA